AGAGCAACUAGAGCAGGCCGUUGAGUGGGGCGGGCGGGGGUGAGGAGGGGGUUGGGUGGCUGGUGGCCCUAGAGGCUGGCCCUAAAGAAUACCUGGACAGCCUGCCAUCCUAUUGCUCCAAAAUGAAAAUCCUCUAAAAGGGUCAACUGGUGGCAGGGAACAAAACCCCGCUGAGACUGGCUGAAACACAAGUGGGGCCUGUGCUCAGGGUGCAGGAAGUGGAGCAUCCAAGGGGAGAGGCUCGGAGAGGCGGU